UGGGGGAUAUUGGACAAUGGGCGAAAGCCUGAUCCAGCCAUGCCGCGUGUGUGAAGAAGGUCUUCGGAUUGUAAAGCACUUUAAGUUGGGAGGAAGGGUACUUACCUAAUACGUGAGUAUUUUGACGUUACCGACAGAAUAAGCACCGGCUAACUCUGUGCCAGCAGCCGCGGUAAUACAGAGGGUGCAAGCGUUAAUCGGAAUUACUGGGCGUAAAGCGCGCGUAGGUGGUUUGUUAAGUUGGAUGUGAAAGCCCCGGGCUCAACCUGGGAACUGCAUACAAAACUGGCAAGCUAGAGUAUGGUAGAGGGUAGUGGAAUUUCCUGUGUAGCGGUGGAGUGCGUAGAUAUAGGAAGGAACACCAGUGGCGAAGGCGAAUACCUGGACUGAUAAUGACACUGAGGUGCGAAAGCGUGGGGAGCAAACA
rnacentral:rRNA from 1 species